CGCACUCGCUCUACAUAAUUCAAUCUAGUAAUUAGAAAUUAGUUUAAAUUAAGUUUAGUACAAGCAUUGAAUUCACAUGUUGGUGAGAAACUUAAUAUUUUUUAUGAAAACUCUACGUAAUAUGUUCUGUUAAGUCUGACCGAGCACAUAUUCCUUUUUUUUUUUUUUUGCAGCGUACCCUUGUAUAUUUACUGAUUGGCUAUAGGAAAUGUCAGUCUUAUGGUUCCUGGUCUGGUUUAUUGACCAAAAGUAAAAAACUCAAUAACAAAAGCUGUAAAUGUGGCUUGCAAGACUAUGGUUGGCUGGGUCUGGGUUGGAAAAAGGUUGGACUGUUUUACAUUGAGCCUUGGAUGGAGAUGAUGGGGCUGGUUCGGCCUGUGUUGGGUUGGAUUCAGUCGGUUUGGAUUUGGUUUGGAUUGAGUUGAUUUGGACAAUGUUGAUGCCGAAGCCUGAACUGCUCAGUUUUAUCCUGUCUCAAUUCUGCAUCACUCUGGAUAAAAGCAUCUGCUAAAUGAGCAAAUGUAGUCAGUUUGGAUUGAGUGGGUUUGGCCUCUGUCGGUUUGGAUUGAGAGGGUUUGGCCUGUUUUGGUUUGGAUUAAGUGAGUUGGGCCUGUGUCAGUUUGGAUUGAGUGGGUUUGGCCUCUGUCGGUUUGGAUUGAGAGGGUUUGGCCUCUGUUGUUUGGAUUGAGUGGGUUUGGCUGUGUCGGGUUUGGAUUGAGAGGGUUUGGCCUGUGUUAGUUUGGAUUGAGUGAGUCUGGCCUGUGUCAGUUUGGAUUGAGUGAGUCUGGGCUGUGUCAG
ensembl:lncRNA